UCCACCUGAAUAAUGUGUAGUUGCGCCACUGUGUAGGAACGACUGCUUAGAUAUAUUUAUAUUUCUGGCCUACUUUAGACUGAAUGUGCUUAAAGUUAUUGUUAAUGGUAGAAGAAACGUUUUCAAGUUUGGUUCAAUAAUUCAUUUGAAUUACUUUGAGUGUGAAAUGUUCAUGCAUGCAAGUUAAAACUGUGAAGAACACGUUAGCUUUUGUUUCAAUACUUUGGUAAUACUUGGAAGUAUAACGCUUGGCAUCAGAGCUAAUAUUUAACAUUUUCCUUUGACCUCUUGACUCUCACCCCAAAAAUACUUGCACUAAAGUCACUGGGUCUAUAACAGUUGAAGGGUUUUAAGAUAAGGAAAUUUAAAUAUUAAUAUUUCACAGUUUUUCUCAGACUGCAUUUCUCAGAACAGAAUUUAAAUUCUUAAAACUACCUGUUCAAUCAUCAAAUUACUGUCACUUCUGCACAUCAAAAAAUUAGCUUCUCAUUCCUUUUGUAAGUUUGCUUUCACAUCCUGUAACUGAUUAUGUGCACUUCUCUGCUUUUUCCCUGUUGUAAUUUGCUUUAAGUGUGUUAAUCAAAAUGUGUUAAACGUAUCUCUGUUGAAUUGUCUCAACUUCCAAAACGGCAUAAGUUCAUUGUAUAAGUCUUAACAUGCAUAAGUCUUGAAGUUGUCAUAAUGUCAAUCAUAUUUUAAUUAAUUUAUAUUCAAUUUUUUUUCUACAUCUGUCCUUAAUAGGUAAAUUGCUCUCAAGUGAGUCCUGGAUUUCUCUAACAGGUCAAUCUAUGAACCACUAGCUCAACCAACGAUCAACCAGUUUUCUGGAGCAGAUUGAAGGUGUGUUAUGUGCUGCGGGCACAUUAUUAUUUUUGACUAUUUCUUUUACUUGUUUUCUUAUAGAUUUUAGUUGAAUGACCUUUUGUUAAUCUAUUUUGGAGUUUGGAUAAUUCCUUUUUGCUCAUGUAAUUAUGUUAAUUUGUGGCACUGUUGGUCCGCCUAUAAAUAGGCUGGUUUUCGGCAUGUUGAGAGUCCCGCCAUCUUCCUUCCUGAGCUCCGCCUUUUCCGCUCGCUCCACUCGCACGGUGCGCGCACGUCCAGUCGCUGUGGGCCGCAGCUGACUUUCCAGCCUGCCAUGCGGUAUUUCUGUUAGCUUUUGUUUGCUUUUCUUGUGAUUUUGGCCUGGUGGGACCGGUUGUCCUGUUUUCGAUCUUUCUUUUUAUUAGAUUCUUUUUUUGCUUUAGUCCGGUACCAGUAGGGGCUUCGACGGCCCUGUAUAGGGUUGGCCCCCUGCUGUACCGUUUUGUUCUGUUUGAUCGGCUCACCAGGUCCAACUUUCUGUUAAUACUUUUGGGGUUUUGUUUUUCUUUACUUUUUGGAACACGGGAUCUGAGGGCCUUAACGCUAUUUUCUUCACAGGAAAUCAGAAAAAGCUGACUUAAGAAAAUCAAAGUGAAGAGAAUUUAUAAAUAAAACAUUUUGUUAAACCCUCAUUUUUUUUGUCUCGUGUCCUCAAAUAUGUUGUGCCCUUGGUGGACGUAACAAGGUGCAUCUUGUGAACCAUCAGUUGGCAACAAUAUGGUCUAUAUAGUCAGAACACAACACAAGGUUACAUCUCUGAGAAUUGAUGAACAAGUAUCUGGACAGAGUGAACAGCCAGAGAGAAGAGGAGUGAGGUUGAGGAGGAAACAGUUGGGAGGAAAGCAGAAGAAGAGUCAGAAGAGGCCGAGGACAUCUGCCAGUUUCCAUCAGUCCAACAUCAGAAUAUGGUUUGCGACCCACAACAUGAUGCUGAUGGAGGUUCUCCCACCCUACUGUUCAUUCCUUAACCCCACUGAGGAACCUUUGUUAGCAUGACGAUGAAAAUUAAAAUGUAAUGUAAUUUCUACAGCACUGUACAGUUUUCCAUGAGGAGAUUGUCCUAUGGUUCCUUUUCUCCUUUUUUUGUACACUGCAUUUGUCUUUUUCUUUCUGAAUCACCAUGGCAUGGUCCGUCAAAUUACAGCAAAAGCGUAAAUGUGAAUUUUGUAGUCUCUUCCCAUGACUAAUCAGUUUGACUGAUAGUCAUAUAGUUUCUCUAUCUGUACAUAGAGAAACUAUAACUUAUUUUGAGUCACUGAUAUGUUAACUGACAGAAUUUUGAGAGCUGAACUAAGGAUUUUGCAAGCAAACAAAUGCUAUUUUUUUGCUGUUUCUACAAAUUGUUUUGAGAAAUGUGCAUACUGUUUUGUAAAUGCCAAUAAUAACUUGAGAAAUGCACCAGAACUGACUGAGAAAAACUAACAUAGCAUAAAUUGUCUUAAAAGUAUACACAUUUACAGCUUUGUUUCUGCUAGCUUGCAGGAAUUGCAACUUACAUAAAUGGUUGAAGACAACUUAUUGGCCUUCAUGACACUCAGAUAAAUGAGAGGAUCACACUUGUCGACAACAAACACAGGUUUAAGAACUACUGACUUUUCAGUCAGAAAUGAUCACAUCACCUGGUUGAAGUCUCCAUAUGCAAGUCAACAAAGCAGAGAAAACACCUGAUUGACAACAUGUGAGUCUCAAUUUCAACCUGUAACGGGGAAGACCAUAACCAUGACGCACACCAUCUUGAGCAAAGUCUGAACUCAGUGACUUGUUACUCUGAACCCAGAGCAAGAAUCCUUUUAUCGCCAAUUUUUCUUCUACAAUAGGUUAUCUCUUAUCGCAUGCUGUUUGUUUUGUUUUCCAGAUCUCA